GACGUAGGGCGCGAGCGUUGUCCGGAUUUAUUGGGCGUAAAGAGCUCGUAGGCGGUUUGUCGCGUCUGCUGUGAAAUCCCGAGGCUCAACCUCGGGCUUGCAGUGGGUACGGGCAGACUAGAGUGUGGUAGGGGAGACUGGAAUUCCUGGUGUAGCGGUGAAAUGCGCAGAUAUCAGGAGGAACACCGAUGGCGAAGGCAGGUCUCUGGGCCAUAACUGACGCUGAGAAGCGAAAGCAUGGGGGAGCGAACAGG
rnacentral:rRNA from 1 species